rnacentral:lncRNA from 1 species
GCCCCAGGAAAAAAAAACCACGCUUAUGGUGAUUUUACCAAGUUAGAAUACUAAAUUGUUGAAGAUAGAUCUUUUUUUGACUUGACAAAUAAAAUAGCGACUUGCUAAAACUAAUGAUUGUCAAAUAAAUCUUCAUAUCAUAGCAGUAAAGGGGGUGGCUGCUGCUUUCUUGACCAUGGUGGCAUAGCAAGCGGAUCCCAUACCAACUUGAGAAGAUUCUUGUUUUUUUCUAUGCUGCAUUUGAUUGUUCUAUCUAUUUUAUCUUCCAUAGUUUCUGCUUCAGAUUAGUAAAGAAGUAGUAUCAUGUCAAUGACUUUAGUAUUUGCAUGAGUUUAUUCAUGUAGUAUGUUAUUUCACUUGAAUAACAGAACCAGUUUGAUGUGAGAAUAGAUGGGGCUCAUUAGCUUUUUUCAGUCUAAUUCACCAGAUUGUCAGAUCAAUUUAUCAAGACUUGAAAUGGUCUCAGUUUGAAUAUUUGUGCAAUACAAUUAUAUAAAUUGCUUAUAGUAAAAUACUCUAUCAGGUGAUUGCUAAGUUUUGACAUGGUAAAUGUGUUCCUGAAUUAUAAAAGUUGGUGCUAAUUUAGUCUUCAAUAUUCAGGCCUUAAUUUGUGAUUUUGCUCCUGGUUCAGUAUUCAAGAUUGAAAAUUUGUUGAAACUUUGAUGAACUUAGCAGCGUGAGCACCAGCCAAAAAUGGAGAGAAUAUAAUGUUACACACUAGAAUGCCAACUUUAUAUGCACCCUUAAUUCGUGAUGGGAGAAUAAAUAAAUUCUAUCUGUAUGUUCUUCUAUCGGUAGCAGUUUUGUACAAUGAUCUAGACCAUCUGAAACUUCUGAACAGGAGUAUUUUAAUUUCCCUUUAGCCUUGUGUAUAAUUUAGUGUUUGCUUGACUUCUUGGCAUUGCGUGAUAGACUGAAGAUAGGUGCCUGAUUUUGUCAGGCAUUUUUUGUUUUAUUAUUCCUUUAUUUGAUCUCUACAAUUUUGUUUUUCUUGCUUGUUUGUCCAGUAAAGCAGGUAUACGCCUACACUAACUACAAUCAAGUAUCUCAUUUUUUAUGGACUUGUUACCAAGGUUACAAGACAAAUGAUGGACAUUUGUAGAUCAGCUGUGUUUCUCAACUUUUCUACAUAGCAUUUGUUAAAACCAAAUAUAUGUUCUCAAAUGAAGCACCGUAAUUUUCAUAUAGACUUUUUUGUUAGUGGGGUAGGUUUCUUUUUUAGUUUUAUGAUUUAUUUUAGUUUUGUAAUUUUUUUUAAAUGUCACCGUAGCGUUAGUACGGACAAUAUACUAGUGAUGGUAAAUAUGUAAAAGUCACUUUGAUCUCUCCACUCCUCUUCUCCCUUCUCCCAAACUCGUCCUCGCGGCCUCGUCCUCGCCUCAUCGCCCUAGUCCCCGUCCCCCAUCCAAAUCAGGCGCAAGAGCCGAGCGGCGGCCUCCACCCUCCAGCCCACUGGCCACUACCCACGUCUCGUCGGCAAAAAAAUUGGUCCCCCUGCUCCUGCCGGUUUCUGGUUGGUGAUGAGGCGGUGAGUAAAGGCGUCUGGGGCUGCCUUUCUUCCGUGCGGCCAUGGAGCGGAUGGCGAGGCGGCAAUCGCUGCAUGGGAGGAAGUGAGUCCGUGAGGCAUCAACUCAAAUCUCUCGGCUUUCUCAGGAGUCAGGACUCAGGACUCAGGCUGGCAAGCAAGCACUCUUCCAGUUCCAGACCAGGUAGAUUUUUCUUUCUCAUCAGAGGAAGCCCCUAAUCUAGCUGUGGGACUUAAGCCUCACAUAAGUGAUGAGUCUAUUUUCUCCAUUCUCUUUUAUAAAACACACACACAUAGACAGAUUCAAACUUUUAUUUUUUAACUAAUAAUUUGACUAACAAUUUAUUACCUAAUACAAUUAGAUUUAUAAUUAAUAUAUUAUCUAAUUAUCAUAAUAACUUUAUAAACAUAAACAAUACAAUACUCCUUCAAUCAUAAAUUAUAAGCUAUUUUUAAUGUUUUGAAGUGUUGAAAUAUCCUAAGUUUGACCAAAUUUAUAUAGUAUAAAAUAAUAAUAUUUAUAUGAUGUCAUAAAUCUUUGUAAUUUUUUCUACAAUUUUAGUUAAAUCUGAUAUAUUUUGAUUCUCUAAAAAAUUAGAAUGACUUAUAGAAUGAAGCAUUGUUUAUAAUCUUCCGCUAUAGCUUUUUGAGCAAGGUCCCACUUUGUGUUCAUAUAUAAUUUAGCUGUUAUAUCCACUAUAAUCCGAUAUAGCUCCAAUAUUAACUAUUUUAAAGAUAUACCGCUAAACACUUUAGUCCACUACAAAUUAUUGUAAAAUACAUGUUUCUUGUAUUUUUUUAGAAAAAAAAACUAAUUACUAUAAAAUUCCUGUGAAAUCCCUACAUUUCAAAAGGGUCCGAAAUGAUUAUAAAAAAAAGUCAGGUGUAGUUAUUUGAAAGAACGUGUAACGUGAAACCGCCUCUUAUAAAAGGAGAUGGAAGGUGUAGUUAGCAUAGCGUGUUGGGUCCCAGUCGGUCCGCAACAACGCCGGUGCUCUAUGCGUUGCAGAUGCAUACCUGCGCAUCUUCAGGUCCUGUUUGGAACGUGAGUUUUUUUUUUUUAAAAAAAAACUACAUUCUUUAUCAGAUUAAACUGAAUUUUAGUUAAAUUUCUAAAUAAUCUCGUGCGAAAUUCCCACGGGAUAUCCACAUUCUUACGACGUACUCCUACUACAUCUCCAACUCUUUUCACCCAAACAGGACAACACCGACUCUGAACUCAUGAAGCAGUUCUCUGAGGACCAAAAUUGGAAAUCCACUCUUUUCUCGGCUACCGCGCGUCUGUGCGCACGUCCCUAGUACUUGCCGCAAAAGAGAAAGAGCAACGAGCAGCUUCGUGAGGCAGGCACAGUGUCACACCAGGGCCUUGUUUAGGCCUUGUUUAGUUCGCAAAAAUUUUCAAGAUUCCCCGUCACAUCGAAUCUUUAAUCACAUGCAUGCAGCAUUAAAUAAAGAUAAAAAUAAAAACUAAUUACACAGUUUAUCUGAAAUUUGUGAGAUGAAUCUUUUGAGCCUAGUUACUUCGUGGUUGGACAAUGUUUGUCAAAUAAAAACGAAAGUGCUACAGUAGCCAAAAACCCAAAAUUUUGCCAACUAAACAAGGCAUAGUUUCAAAAAAAAUUGCAAAACAGGUACUGUAGCACUUUCGUUUGUUUAUGAUAAAAAUUGUCCAAUCAUGGAUUAACUAGGCUGAAAAGAUUCAUCUCAUCAAUUCCGACCAAACUAUGCAAUUAGUUUUUAUUUUUGUCUAUAUUUAAUACUUCAUGCAUGCGUCUAAAGAUUCGAUGUGACGAGAAAUCUGAAAAAUUUUGCAAAAUUUGUUGGGAAGUAAACAAGGCCCAGAUCUACCACCAUAGUACACACCAAGGGAAAUGCGGAAAUCAUCAUUCCAACUCCACUCCGUGCAGUACAAAAGGCAACGGAACGGCAAGCCCGUCGCACAUCCUAUCAAGCUUUUCUGACCAGUUCUAACAAACACCAAAACGCAUCACGCAUACUCGUCUUGCUUGCAGAUCUUUGCCGCUAUAAAACAGAUCCUGCAGCACACGCGAACAUUACACUUGAAAACAUUGAAAGAAGAAUAUGGAUCUCCUUCAGUGACCAUCACGAACACCUAAAUAAAUCGGUAAGUCGCUGCUAAUAUGCCCCCGUGGAACCGCUGUUGUUUUUCCACCUUGUCCAGAGCAGGACUUCCAGCGUGAUGAUGGUGAUCAGAAGGAUGGCCAGGUUGAAACCGUAGCCGAUCUUCCAAGAGUUGCCUGCGCCGCCGACCUUGAUCCCGAGCACAAUGUUGAUGGCUGCAAAGAAGAGGGCGAGCCUGCCGACCCAGUGGUGGUACCAGUUCCAGAACUUGCGGUACUUGGAGUCCU